UAGUGGCGAACGGGUGAGUAAUAUAUCGGAACGUACCUUGUAAUGGGGGAUAACUAGUCGAAAGAUUAGCUAAUACCGCAUACGCCCUGAGGGGGAAAGUAGGGGAUCUUCGGACCUUACGUUAUAAGAGCGGCCGAUAUCUGAUUAGCUAGUUGGUGGGGUAAUGGCCUACCAAGGCGACGAUCAGUAGCUGGUCUGAGAGGACGACCAGCCACACUGGAACUGAGACACGGUCCAG
rnacentral:rRNA from 1 species